rnacentral:rRNA from 1 species
AUUGAACGCUGGCGGCAGGCCUAACACAUGCAAGUCGGACGGUAGCACAGAGGAGCUUGCUCCUCGGGUGACGAGUGGCGGACGGGUGAGUAAUGUCUGGGGAUCUGCCCGAUAGAGGGGGAUAACCACUGGAAACGGUGGCUAAUACCGCAUAACGUCGCAAGACCAAAGAGGGGGACCUUCGGGCCUCUCACUAUCGGAUGAACCCAGAUGGGAUUAGCUAGUAGGCGGGGUAACGGCCCACCUAGGCGACGAUCCCUAGCUGGUCUGAGAGGAUGACCAGCCACACUGGAACUGAGACACGGUCCAGACUCCUACGGGAGGCAGCAGUGGGGAAUAUUGCACAAUGGGCGCAAGCCUGAUGCAGCCAUGCCGCGUGUAUGAAGAAGGCCUUCGGGUUGUAAAGUACUUUCAGCGGGGAGGAAGGCGAUAAGGUUAAUAACCUUGUCGAUUGACGUUUCCCGCAGAAGAAGCACCGGCUAACUACGUGCCAGCAGCCGCCGUAA